CCAAUAGCGUAUAUUAAAGUUGUUGCAGUUAAAAAGCUCGUAGUUGAAUUUCGGGGUUAGUAGGUUGGUCAUGCCUCUGGUAUGUACUGGUCUCACUGAUUCCUCCUUCCUGAUGAACCGUAAUGCCAUUAAUUUGGUGUUGCGUGGAAUUUGGACUGUUACUUUGAAAAAAUUAGAGUGUUUAAAGCAGGCUAACGCUUGAAUACAUUAGCAUGGCAUAAUGAAAUAGGACGUUCGAUCCUAUUUUGUUGGUUUCUAGGAUUGACGUAAUGAUUAAUAGGGAUAGUUGGGGGCAUUAGUAUUCAAUUGUCAGAGGUGAAAUUCUUGGAUUUAUUGAAGACUAACUACUGCGAAAGCAUUUGCCAAGGAUGUUUUCAUUAAUCAAGAACGAAAGUUAGGGGAUCGAAGACGAUCAGAUACCGUCGUAGUCUUAACCAUAAACUAUGCCGACUAGGGAUCGGAUGAUGUUAAUUUUUUAAUGACUCAUUCGGCGCCUUACG
rnacentral:rRNA from 1 species